UGCCACUGUUAAAACUAAAAGUUUGCUGAUAAACUAUCUAGGCUAUAUCUCUAAGUGCAUAACAGAAUUUUGGCAUCUAACUUUGGUCAUCCACUUAUUUCUAGAGGUUUUUUCCUAGUAGCAG